rnacentral:rRNA from 1 species
UACGUAGGUGGCGAGCGUUAUCCGGAUUUACUGGGUGUAAAGGGCGUGUAGGCGGACCGGCAAGUCGGGUGUGAAAUCCCCGGGCUUAACUCGGGUAUGUCAUCCGAAACUGCAGGUCUUGAGUACUGGAGAGGAUAGUGGAAUUCCUAGUGUAGCGGUAAAAUGCGUAGAUAUUAGGAGGAACACCAGUGGCGAAGGCGGCUAUCUGGCCAGUAACUGACGCUGAGGCGCGAAAGCGUGGGGAGCAAACAGGAUUAGAUACC